ensembl:ncRNA lncRNA:CR45556 long non-coding RNA:CR45556
GACAGUACGAUAGCUGCUGCGAAGCCACAACAAUGAGUCGCUUGUUGCUCCGGUUUGUGUGACGCAAUGUAAUGUACGACCUACGAAAGACAAAACCGGGAGGUCCGUGAGACAAGGGAAUAUCCCGUGAUACGAGCACCAUGUGAAGUACACCCGUCUGGCGACACCAGUGUCGCUUGACUAUUACUUUUUUCACUAAAAUCAAUUUUAUAAUCAGAUUCCAAAAAUUUUUUUAAACUUUUCCUUACUGGCGCAGUGAUCGAGAUCUGUCCAUAUGACAUUUGUACCUCCGGUUAUAAUUUUUUGUCGCAUACAUAUGUACAUGGAUGAUGUUGAUGUUGAUUGCGGAAAAAUGUAUGCAUAAAACUGCCAUCUGGGUUGUUUGCAAAUGAGCACUGAACGAAGAAAGAAGGAAAUGCAGAAAUGCAGGGCGGAACAGAGCAUGAAAUUGGAUUCCAGUCACGUGCUCUGAAUGACACACUAAUCAUGCUGUUCCAGUGCAAAAAGGUUCAGAGCUGGAUGGGGGUGGGCUGGCAAGUGACAUUAGCCGGAUCACAAGCUGCAUGUCGCAUUAUCGAAGUGCACGAGUCGAAUAUGCUUAGAUGAAAUCAAAAUUCAAUUAACCAUUUAUUAGUCGCUUCAAUCCCCAGCUGUUAGCAGUGGUGAAUUUGAUCUAAUAGUCGACAUUCUAGAGGGCGAGGGCAAAUCUACAUACAUAUGUACAUCAAAACAAAGAAGUCACGAGUUGCAAAAGCUCGUGG